UUGAAAUAAGUUAUUCUCUCUCGCAUGUAUUCUUAUGAAAUUUUCUUGUGUAAUUGAAAGUAAGGGGAUUGAUAUUUACACCUUAAAAGAUUCCGUAUAUAUAAUUUGAUAGGAUAACAUAUCUCACCUAUAAUGUGAUUGAUCUCAUUACGAAAAACAUAGGGGUGGAAAUGAGCCGAGCUCGAGCGAGUUUACCUCGGCUCAAAUUCGGCUUGAAAUUAAUUUCGAGCAUAAAUUUAAGCUCAAGCUUGGAUUGAAAUUAAAUUGAGCCGAGCUCGAACGAGCCUAAUUUUGAGUCGAGCGAGCUCGAGCCCUAAACGAGCCGCUUGAAAUUCUCAACAUCAUACGAUCAAUAGUUUAAUUUGUAUAGAAUAUUAUCUAUAAUUUGAUACAAAAAUAUGUCUAAUAAUUCAAAAUACAAAAUAAUUAUAUGAAAUAUAGUAUUAUAAUAUAAAGAAAAAUAAUUUAUGAGUUGACUAUCUAAUAUUUUCAGUCUCACAUGUCUUCUCUUCUGCCUUCAUUCUCUAUACUAUUCAUUUUUUAUUUAUGCGGUCAAAAAUAAAUAAAUUAUAUAGAUAAAUAUUGGAUUAAACUAUCCAACCAUAUAUAACUAAAAUUAAAAUUUUAUAUAAAUAAUAAUUUUUUACUUUAAAAAUAUUCAGUAUAUUUUCUCAAACAUACAAUUAAUAGCAAGGUAGGCAAUGACGGGCAUAUGCUGUUACUUGGUAACUUGGAGGGCUUUCGACUUGGCAGCUUAGGGUGAGAGACAGAAAAAGAGAAAGAGAGAAACAUAUUGAAAAUUUAGAGCUCUGCGAAAGAAAGAAAGAAAGAAAGAAAGAAAAAAUAUAUAAAUUUAGUAAAAUUUUGCUUUUUUAUUUGUCUAUUGGGUUUGUUUUUAUUGGUCAACAACAUUGGCCCAAUUUUAACUAAACUCGAAUUAUUCAUUCAGCCUAUAUAUAAUUAAAAUAUUAUAUAUAUAUAUAUAUAUAUAUAUA
rnacentral:lncRNA from 1 species